UAUCUACGUGUAUAUCAUUGACUGUAUUGUCUUUUUAGGCCAAGAGGACCAAGAGAAACAAAGUGGAGCAGAUCACUGAUGCAGGUCCCUCUACAUCUGUGGAAUUCUCUGGGAUGGCAGUUCAGGGGACA